UAAUCUUUUUUCUCUAAUUAUGUAAUUAAAACGAAAGAGUUUUACGCGUCGAUGAGACAAAUUAAAAAUUAUUAGGAAAUAUACCUCAAUGUUUAAUAACAUAACAUAUUUUUUUCAAGUUUUAGUGCUACCUUUUGUCAAAAUGUUUAAACAAAUAAUCAAUUAUGAAAGCUAAAAGAUACAGCUGGAGCAGUUUUAUAUUCAGAAAGGACAUUUAAAGGAUAUUUUUUAACGUAUUACACUUUUAUUGUUGUUUGUUGAUAAAGAAAGUUCUAUUGAAUUGAAAAAAUGCUGCCAUAGACAUACUCACAGGGGAUACUUUGCUUUUCAAAAUCUUUUAAAUGAGUAAAUUGUUGACAUUCGAGCAGGUAUCACGUAAAAUCUCCUAUCUUAAGUAAUAAAUAUAAAUACUGUUUUUAAAGAUAAUUUAAACAACAACUUCUAUUCGAAUCUAUAAAAAACGUUUCAAUUAAAGAUAGAUAAGUAUUGCAUUUCCUAGUUUGAAAAGCAAUUUUUUACUUUAGAUUUAGGUAUAUUACCUAAUAUACGUCAAAUUUAUUCAAGUCAUAGUGAUAAUCCUACGUAAUAUGUAGAUAUCAAGUACUUAUCUAUAGUGUACAUACAUUUUGCGAUGAAGCUGAAAAUUCUAUUUGUAAAAUAGUUAUUAUUGUACCUACGGAUUGACAACAAUAAAUGAAAAUAGUAUUGUUGAUUUUAGUUUUUGGCCCAAAAACUUCACAUAUUAUAUGCUAUUUUGUUGAAAUGAGCUUUUACCGCAGGGGAGCUAAUAAUAUUGUUAUUUACUGAUCUUGGGCUUUUUACUUUCUCUUAAGAAAAUUAUGGAAGAGUGUACUAUAUUAGGUAUCUCCUGAAUAAAAAGUUUUACCAGCGGGACCAAGUCCAUUGAAAAUGCCAAAAAGUAUUCCGUAAAGAAGUUCCCACGCAUCUUCUUCGUCAAGAUUUAUUAACUUUCAAAGUUUAGGAAUUU